rnacentral:tRNA from 3 species
GUCCUCGUAGCUCAAUAGAAGAGCGGUGCCCUGUGAAGGCAUUGGUUGCGGGUGCAAGUCCCGUCGAGGACCCA